CAGGUGGUCAGGUAGAGAAUACCAAGGCGCUUGAGAGAACUCGGGUGAAGGAACUAGGCAAAAUGGUGCCGUAACUUCGGGAGAAGGCACGCUGACACGUAGGUGAAGUGAUUUACUCAUGGAGCUGAAGUCAGUCGAAGAUACCAGCUGGCUGCAACUGUUUAUUAAAAACACAGCACUGUGCAAACACGAAAGUGGACGUAUACGGUGUGACGCCUGCCCGGUGCCGGAAGGUUAAUUGAUGGGGUCAGCGCAAGCGAAGCUCCUGAUCGAAGCCCCGGUAAACGGCGGCCGUAACUAUAACGGUCCUAAGGUAGCGAAAUUCCUUGUCGGGUAAGUUCCGACCUGCACGAAUGGCGUAAUGAUGGCCAGGCUGUCUCCACCCGAGACUCAGUGAAAUUGAACUCGCUGUGAAGAUGCAGUGUACCCGCGGCAAGACGGAAAGACCCCGUGAACCUUUACUAUAGCUUGACACUGAACAUUGAGCCUUGAUGUGUAGGAUAGGUGGGAGGCUUUGAAGUGUGGACGCCAGUCUGCAUGGAGCCGGCCUUGAAAUACCACCCUUUAAUGUUUGAUGUUCUAACGUGGACCCGUUACCCGGGUUGCGGACAGUGUCUGGUGGGUAGUUUGACUGGGGCGGUCUCCUCCUAAAGAGUAACGGAGGAGCACGAAGGUUGGCUAAUCCUGGUCGGACAUCAGGAGGUUAGUGCAAUGGCAUAAGCCAGCUUGACUGCGAGCGUGACGGCGCGAGCAGGUGCGAAAGCAGGUCAUAGUGAUCCGGUGGUUCUGAAUGGAAGGGCCAUCGCUCAACGGAUAAAAGGUACUCCGGGGAUAACAGGCUGAUACCGCCCAAGAGUUCAUAUCGACGGCGGUGUUUGGCACCUCGAUGUCGGCUCAUCACAUCCUGGGGCUGAAGUAGGUCCCAAGGGUAUGGCUGUUCGCCAUUUAAAGUGGUACGCGAGCUGGGUUUAGAACGUCGUGAGACAGUUCGGUCCCUAUCUGCCGUGGGCGCUGGAGAACUGAGGGGGGCUGCUCCUAGUACGAGAGGACCGGAGUGGACGCAUCACUGGUGUUCGGGUUGUCAUGCCAAUGGCACUGCCCGGUAGCUAAAUGCGGAAGAGAUAAGUGCUGAAAGCAUCUAAGCACGAAACUUGCCCCGAGAUGAGUUCUCCCUGAGACUUAGAGUCUCCUGAAGGAACGUUGAAGACGACGACGUUGAUAGGCCGGGUGUGUAAGCGCAGCGAUGCGUUGAGCUAACCGGUACUAAUGAACCGUGAGGCUUAACCUU
rnacentral:rRNA from 1 species